rnacentral:rRNA from 1 species
GACGGACGCUGGCGGCGUGCCUAAUACAUGCAAGUAGAACGCUGAGGUUUGGUGUUUACACUAGACUGAUGAGUUUGCCGGAAACGGGGGUGGAGUUAAACGGCCGUUUAGGGUUAAACCCUUGGCCCUUCAUAGCGGGGGAUAACUAUUGGAAACGAUAGCUAAUACCGCAUAAGAGUAAUUAACACAUGUUAGUUAUUUAAAAGGAGCAAUUGCUUCACUGUGAGAUGGACCUGCGUUGUAUUAGCUAGUUGGUGAGGUAAAGGCUCACCAAGGCGACGAUACAUAGCCGACCUGAGAGGGUGAUCGGCCACACUGGGACUGAGACACGGCCCAGACUCCUACGGGAGGCAGCAGUAGGGAAUCUUCGGCAAUGGACGGAAGUCUGACCGAGCAACGCCGCGUGAGUGAAGAAGGUUUUCGGAUCGUAAAGCUCUGUUGUUAGAGAAGAACGUGGUAGGAGUGGAAAAUCUACCAAGUGACGGUAACUCAACCAGAA